rnacentral:rRNA from 1 species
UGAACGCUAGCGGGAGGCUUAAUACAUGCAAGUCGAACGGCAGCAUUAUUAAAUUUAUUUAGUAGAUGGCGAGUGGCGCACGGGUGAGUAACGCGUACACAACCUGCCCUUAAGUGGGGUAUAGCCCUGGGAAACUGGGAAUAAUACCGCAUAACAUUGUGAAUUCGCAUGGAUUUACAAUUAAAGCUGAGGCGCUUAAGGAUGGGUGUGCGUUCCAUUAGUUAGUUGGUGAGGUAACGGCUCACCAAGGCGACGAUGGGUAGGGGGCGUGAGAGCGUGAUCCCCCACACGGGUACUGAGACACGGACCCGACUCCUACGGGAGGCAGCAGUAAGGAAUAUUGGACAAUGGGCGGAAGCCUGAUCCAGCCAUCCCGCGUGCAGGAUGACGGCCCUAUGGGUUGUAAACUGCUUUUAUAAGGGAAGAAACCCCCGGACUUGUCUGGGGCUGACGGUACCUUAAGAAUAAGCACCGGCUAACUCC